rnacentral:rRNA from 1 species
CCUACGGGUGGCUGCAGUGAGGAAUAUUGGUCAAUGGUAGGGAUACUGAACCAGCCAAGCCGCGUGAGGGAAGACGGCACUAUGUGUUGUAAACCUCUUUUGUCGGGGAACAAAACCCGGGACGUGUCCCGGGCUGCGUGUAUCCGAAGAAAAAGCAUCGGCUAACUCCGUGCCAGCAGCCGCGGUAAUACGGAGGAUGCGAGCGUUAUCCGGAUUUAUUGGGUUUAAAGGGUGCGUAGGCGGUCCGUUAAGUCAGCGGUAAAAUCGCGGGGCUCAACCCCGGCGAGCCGUUGAAACUGGUAGACUUGAGUUGGCGAGAAGUACGCGGAAUGCGCGGUGUAGCGGUGAAAUGCAUAGAUAUCGCGCAGAACUCCGAUUGCGAAGGCAGCGUACCGGCGCCAGACUGACGCUGAGGCACGAAAGCGUGGGGAUCGAACAGGAUUAGAUACCCGUGUAGUC